UUAAGCGACUAAGCGUACACGGUGGAUGCCCUGGCAGUCAGAGGCGAUGAAGGACGUGCUAAUCUGCGAUAAGCGUCGGUGAGGUGAUAUGAACCGUUAUAACCGGCGAUUUCCGAAUGGGGAAACCCAGUGUGUUUCGACACACUAUCAUUAACUGAAUCCAUAGGUUAAUGAGGCGAACCGGGGGAACUGAAACAUCUAAGUACCCCGAGGAAAAGAAAUCAACCGAGAUUCCCCCAGUAGCGGCGAGCGAACGGGGAGGAGCCCAGAGCCUGAAUCAGUGUGUGUGUUAGUGGAAGCGUCUGGAAAGGCGUGCGAUACAGGGUGACAGCCCCGUACACAAAAAUGCACAUAUUGUGAGCUCGAUGAGUAGGGCGGGACACGUGGUAUCCUGUCUGAAUAUGGGGGGACCAUCCUCCAAGGCUAAAUACUCCUGACUGACCGAUAGUGAACCAGUACCGUGAGGGAAAGGCGAAAAGAACCCCGGCGAGGGGAGUGAAAAAGAACCUGAAACCGUGUACGUACAAGCAGUGGGAGCCUCUUAAUGGGGUGACUGCGUACCUUUUGUAUAAUGGGUCAGCGACUUAUAUUCUGUAGCAAGGUUAACCGAAUAGGGGAGCCGAAGGGAAAGGGAGGAGGCCCCCGAGUCUUAACUGGGCGUUAAGUUGCAGGGUAUAGACCCGAAACCCGGUGAUCUAGCCAUGGGCAGGUUGAAGGUUGGGUAACACUAACUGGAGGACCGAACCGACUAAUGUUGAAAAAUUAGCGGAUGACUUGUGGCUGGGGGUGAAAGGCCAAUCAAACCGGGAGAUAGCUGGUUCUCCCCGAAAGCUAUUUAGGUAGCGCCUCGUGAAUUCAUCUCCGGGGGUAGAGCACUGUUUCGGCAAGGGGGUCAUCCCGACUUACCAACCCGAUGCAAACUGCGAAUACCGGAGAAUGUUAUCACGGGAGACACACGGCGGGUGCUAACGUCCGUCGUGAAGAGGGAAACAACCCAGACCGCCAGCUAAGGUCCCAAAGUCAUGGUUAAGUGGGAAACGAUGUGGGAAGGCCCAGACAGCCAGGAUGUUGGCUUAGAAGCAGCCAUCAUUUAAAGAAAGCGUAAUAGCUCACUGGUCGAGUCGGCCUGCGCGGAAGAUGUAACGGGGCUAAACCAUGCACCGAAGCUGCGGCAGCGACACUUAUGUGUUGUUGGGUAGGGGAGCGUUCUGUAAGCCUGUGAAGGUGGCCUGUGAGGGUUGCUGGAGGUAUCAGAAGUGCGAAUGCUGACAUAAGUAACGAUAAAGCGGGUGAAAAGCCCGCUCGCCGGAAGACCAAGGGUUCCUGUCCAACGUUAAUCGGGGCAGGGUGAGUCGACCCCUAAGGCGAGGCCGAGGGCCGAAAGGCGUAGUCGAUGGGAAACAGGUUAAUAUUCCUGUACUUGGUGUUACUGCGAAGGGGGGACGGAGAAGGCUAUGUUGGCCGGGCGACGGUUGUCCCGGUUUAAGCGUGUAGGCUGGUUUUCCAGGCAAAUCCGGAAAACCAAGGCUGAGGCGUGAUGACGAGGCACUACGGUGCUGAAGCGACAAAUGCCCUGCUUCCAGGAAAAGCCUCUAAGCAUCAGGUAACAUCAAAUCGUACCCCAAACCGACACAGGUGGUCAGGUAGAGAAUACCAAGGCGCUUGAGAGAACUCGGGUGAAGGAACUAGGCAAAAUGGUGCCGUAACUUCGGGAGAAGGCACGCUGAUAUGUAGGUGAAGCGACUUGCUCGUGGAGCUGAAAUCAGUCGAAGAUACCAGCUGGCUGCAACUGUUUAUUAAAAACACAGCACUGUGCAAACACGAAAGUGGACGUAUACGGUGUGACGGGGGCGCCACUCCCGGUGCCGGAAGGUUAAUUGAUGGGGUUAGCGGCAACGCGAAGCUCUUGAUCGAAGCCCCGGUAAACGGCGGCCGUAACUAUAACGGUCCUAAGGUAGCGAAAUUCCUUGUCGGGUAAGUUCCGACCUGCACGAAUGGCGUAAUGAUGGCCAGGCUGUCUCCACCCGAGACUCAGUGAAAUUGAACUCGCUGUGAAGAUGCAGUGUACCCGCGGCAAGACGGAAAGACCCCGUGAACCUUUACUAUAGCUUGACACUGAACAUUGAGCCUUGAUGUGUAGGAUAGGUGGGAGGCUUUGAAGUGUGGACGCCAGUCUGCAUGGAGCCGACCUUGAAAUACCACCCUUUAAUGUUUGAUGUUCUAACGUUGGCCCGUAAUCCGGGUUGCGGACAGUGUCUGGUGGGUAGUUUGACUGGGGCGGUCUCCUCCUAAAGAGUAACGGAGGAGCACGAAGGUUGGCUAAUCCUGGUCGGACAUCAGGAGGUUAGUGCAAUGGCAUAAGCCAGCUUGACUGCGAGCGUGACGGCGCGAGCAGGUGCGAAAGCAGGUCAUAGUGAGCAGGUGCGAAAGCAGGUCAUAGUGAUCCGGUGGUUCUGAAUGGAAGGGCCAUCGCUCAACGGAUAAAAGGUACUCCGGGGAUAACAGGCUGAUACCGCCCAAGAGUUCAUAUCGACGGCGGUGUUUGGCACCUCGAUGUCGGCUCAUCACAUCCUGGGGCUGAAGUAGGUCCCAAGGGUAUGGCUGUUCGCCAUUUAAAGUGGUACGCGAGCUGGGUUUGGUUUAGAACGUCGUGAGACAGUUCGGUCCCUAUCUGCCGUGGGCGCUGGAGAACUGAGGGGGGCUGCUCCUAGUACUGAGGGGGGCUGCUCCUAGUACGAGAGGGGGGGCUGCUCCUAGUACGAGAGGACCGGAGUGGACGCAUCACUGGUGUUCGGGUUGUCAUGCCAAUGGCACUGCCCGGUAGCUAAAUGCGGAAGAGAUAAGUGCUGAAAGCAUCUAAGCACGAAACUUGCCCCGAGAUGAGUUCUCCCUGAAGAGCAGUGA
rnacentral:rRNA from 1 species